CGGGUGAGUAAUGUAUGGGGAUCUGCCUGAUGGCGGGGAUAACUACUGGAAACGGUAGCUAAUACCGCAUAAUGUCUACGGACCAAAGCGGGGGACCUCCGGGCCUCGCGCCAUCAGAUGAACCCAUAUGGGAUUAGCUAGUAGGUAAGGUAACGGCUUACCUAGGCGACGAUCCCUAGCUGGUCUGAGAGGAUGAUCAGCCACACUGGGACUGAGACACGGCCCAG
rnacentral:rRNA from 1 species